CCCCGCCUCGCUGCCUCUGAUUGGUCAGGUUAAUCCUUGGGCUUUCUGAGCCGGACUUGAAGGACUUUGCACUCAGGAAAGGGAAGGGCCACUGCGUGGGGGUUUCGAAAGAAAAAAUGUCCUAAGUUACCCUGUGUCCCAGUCCUGUUGAAAUGUUUUCCUGGAAGACUCCAUGGAGAUAUGGUCUGCACUGUCCAGCCUUCCACCAGAUGAGGUAGUUGUCAGCAACAAGCAGUAAAUAU